AGAGUUUGAUCCUGGCUCAGGACGAACGCUGGCGGCGCGCCUAACACAUGCAAGUCGAACGGAGCUUAGAGAGCUUGCUUUUUAAGCUUAGUGGCGAACGGGUGAGUAACGCGUGAGUAACCUGCCCUGGAGUGGGGGACAACAGUUGGAAACGACUGCUAAUACCGCAUAAGCCCACGGUACCGCAUGGCACUGAGGGAAAAGGAUUUAUUCGCUUUAGGAUGGACUCGCGUCCAAUUAGCUAGUUGGUGAGGUAACGGCCCACCAAGGCGACGAUUGGUAGCCGGACUGAGAGGUUGAACGGCCACAUUGGGACUGAGACACGGCCCAGACUCCUACGGGAGGCAGCAGUGGGGGAUAUUGCACAAUGGGGGAAACCCUGAUGCAGCGACGCCGCGUGGAGGAAGAAGGUCUUCGGAUUGUAAACUCCUGUUGUUGAGGAAGAUAAUGACGGUACUCAACAAGGAAGUGACGGCUAACUACGUGCCAGCAGCCGCGGUAAAACGUAGGUCACAAGCGUUGUCCGGAAUUACUGGGUGUAAAGGGAGCGCAGGCGGGAAGACAAGUUGGAAGUGAAAUCUAUGGGCUCAACCCAUAAACUGCUUUCAAAACUGUUUUUCUUGAGUAGUGCAGAGGUAGGCGGAAUUCCCGGUGUAGCGGUGGAAUGCGUAGAUAUCGGGAGGAACACCAGUGGCGAAGGCGGCCUACUGGGCACCAACUGACGCUGAGGCUCGAAAGUGUGGGUAGCAAACAGGAUUAGAUACCCUGGUAGUCCACACCGUAAACGAUGAUUACUAGGUGUUGGAGGAUUGACCCCUUCAGUGCCGCAGUUAACACAAUAAGUAAUCCACCUGGGGAGUACGACCGCAAGGUUGAAACUCAAAGGAAUUGACGGGGGCCC
rnacentral:rRNA from 1 species